CCUACGGGAGGCAGCAGUGAGGAAUAUUGGUCAAUGGACGAGAGUCUGAACCAGCCAAGUAGCGUGAAGGAUGACUGCCCUAUGGGUUGUAAACUUCUUUUAUAUGGGAAUAAAAUGUUCCACGUGUGGGAUUUUGUAUGUACCAUAUGAAUAAGGAUCGGCUAACUCCGUGCCAGCAGCCGCGGUAAUACGGAGGAUCCGAGCGUUAUCCGGAUUUAUUGGGUUUAAAGGGAGCGUAGGUGGAUUGUUAAGUCAGUUGUGAAAGUUUGCGGCUCAACCGUAAAAUUGCAGUUGAAACUGGCAGUCUGGAGUACAGUAGAGGUGGGCGGAAUUCGUGGUGUAGCGGUGAAAUGCUUAGAUAGCACGAAGAACUCCGAUUGCGAAGGCAGCUCACUGGACUGCAACUGACACUGAGGCUCGAAAGUGUGGGUAUCAAACAGGAUUAGAUACCCCUGUAGUC
rnacentral:rRNA from 1 species